rnacentral:sRNA from 1 species
CUUUCCUUCCGCCCAGCACCUCCAUGCCCUCGGUGCACGAACGCGGCGGCGGCGGCCAGAAGUCCCCCGUGGCUUAUGAAUGACACGGACAGAGAGCCCAGCGACGUGGAUGGGGCAGCUAGGGGCAGCAGUGUGGACGCGGACCCUCAGUCCUCAGGCAGCUCAGGUCCUGGUUCGUCCCCUAACCCAGGAGGAUGCUGUGGGAGCUGGAGCAGCAGCAAGAGGGAGAAUGGGGGGAAGCAGCACUAGAGAAGUUCCCAGAGCUCAUCCUGUCACUGGCUGCUCUGCUGAAAUUAUCAAUAAGAAAUGCCAGUUGGAUCUGUGACAUGUCUGCCCGCAGCUGGAUGGGAGCAACUGACAGCUUGUCCUCCGAAUGUGUUUUCUGUGUGUGUGCAAGCGCGUGUGUUCCAAACGGGCAGUAGCGUGUGGGAAGGAAAAAGCCUGACACUUGUUUUUAUCAAUUUGCUGAUGCUCAGUCCCAGCGGCUGCCUCCUUUGCCCCCAGCUGCUCUGCUAUUUCUCUCUUUCCAAUCCUGCGCGAUCCUGAGCAGAGAUAAAAGAUUUCUGCUUCUGCUCCCAGAUCCAGGCGCAGACCCUGCAGGCAGCUGCUCCCGAUGUCUCACAGCUAUUAGUCUUCAAAAGCCCCCCGUGCCUCUGUGCACACGCGCCUCUCCUCCCCAGCCAGCCCCCCUCCCAGCCCAGCGGCGAUGUCUCUGCCUGGCUGGCCCGUGCCCUUGACUUCCAGGCAGUAGGAGAUGGAGUUCUCUAGACAGCAGCACUUCAGCCGCCACUCCGCCUCUGAAGGGAAGGAAGGGAAAGG